GGGCUCGUUUUAUCGCACGUAUUAUUUUGAAAUUUGUGUCUGUGUCAACAUCAGUUUCAGUGCUCGAACUAGUUAAAACAUUAAUUUCAGUGUUUUUGUCCACAUUAAUUUCAGUUUCAAUGUUUGUGUUCAGAUUGGUUUCAGUUUCAGUGUUUGUGUCCAUAUCGGUUUCCAUUUCAGUGUUUAUCUCCAGAUCUGUUUCCGUUUCAGUGUUUGUGUCAAGAUCGGUUUCCGUUUCAGUGUUUGUGUCAAGAUCGGUUUCCGUUUCAGUGUUUGUGUCAAGAUCAGUUUCUGUCUCAAUGUUUGUUCUGACAUUGUCGUCACUAGUAGCUGUUGUCAAUGCAAUUAAAUCUUCUUCAGUUUCUAGAGUGACAAGUAAUUCUUUUGGAAGGGCUGACGAUGACAAGCCAACUUUAGGGUCACUUCCGAAUAAAGCUUUAUACGGCGACUGAUCAAUCGUUCUAUG
rnacentral:lncRNA from 1 species